AUUGAACGCUGGCGGCAGGCCUAACACAUGCAAGUCGAACGAGUGGCGGACGGGUGAGUAAUGUCUGGGAAACUGCCUGAUGGAGGGGGAUAACUACUGGAAACGGUAGCUAAUACCGCAUACUCUCGGCUGUGCUCAAAUGGGUUUAGCUAGUGGGUGGGGUAACGGCUCACCUAGGCGACGAUCCCUAGCUGGUCUGAGAGGAUGACCAGCCACACUGGAACUGAGACACGGUCCAGACUCCUACGGGAGGCAGCAGGGGGGAAUAUUGCGCAAUGGGCGCAAGCCUGAUGCAGCCAUGCCGCGUGUAUGAAGAAGGCCUUCGGGUUGUAAAGUACUUUCAGCGGGGAGGCGUUACCCGCAGAAGAAGCACCGGCUAACUCCGUGCCAGCCGCCGCGGUAAUUC
rnacentral:rRNA from 1 species